rnacentral:rRNA from 1 species
GAUGAACGCUGGCGGCGUGCCUAAUACAUGCAAGUCGAGCGAACGGACGAGAAGCUUGCUUCUCUGAUGUUAGCGGCGGACGGGUGAGUAACACGUGGAUAACCUACCUAUAAGACUGGGAUAACUUCGGGAAACCGGAGCUAAUACCGGAUAAUAUUUUGAACCGCAUGGUUCAAAAGUGAAAGACGGUCUUGCUGUCACUUAUAGAUGGAUCCGCGCUGCAUUAGCUAGUUGGUAAGGUAACGGCUUACCAAGGCAACGAUGCAUAGCCGACCUGAGAGGGUGACCGGCCACACUGGAACAGAGACACGGUCCAGACUCCUACGGGAAGCAGCAGUAGGGAAUCUUCCGCAAUGGGCGAAAGCCUGACGGAGCAACGCCGCGUGAGUGAUGAAGGUCUUCGGAUCGUAAAACUCUGUUAUUAGGGAAGAACAUAUGUGUAAGUAACUGUGCACAUCUUGACGGUACCUAAUCAGAAAGCCACGGCUAACUACGUG